AGCAGCUGCACACCUUUGCAGCCCCAGCUCAGCCAGCGGUCAGCCCUGGCUAGCCCAGCCUCCCUCCUUCACCUGCUGGCCCUGGAGCCCUCUGAAGGCCUAGUUCAUCCCCUCCGCAGCUCCUCCUCAGAGCUUGCUGGGCACUGGGAUACUGGUUUCGCUGCCAGAGGCCCUGUUGGCUUGGCUCUGCCCUCCCCCUGGUCCCUCACUACUUGCUGGCCACAGAGCCAGUGCCUAUAGCUGCCACCCCAAGACACCCCUUCCUGACCAGCCUGUGUGAUUUCUCUCUGCAGGGUUCCCCUAGGGGUCAUCGCCCUUCCUCAAGGGUGUUUCUGCCAAAGCAUUCACUUCCUAAAGUACUUCUUGGUCCACAAAGGACGGAACCUGUAUCCGGAGGGUCCAGUGAAAUCCUGCGUGAAAUGUGUGGUGCUGUGCACCAAUGCUUCCCUCCACCUGGUGACAGCCAGUGGCACACAGGGACCCACCAGCAGGGUGCUCGUGACCAGACCUGUGAAGCACCUGGAUGAAGCCAUCUGUACAGUGGCCCCCGUCUCCACCUUGCCUGGCAUGGUGCUGAUCUUUGCCAGGAACGGCUCUGUGAACCUCAUGGACGUGGCCAAGGCUGAAGCCAUCUGUGCCUUCGCUCCCCCCCCAGAGCCCCCACCUGGCGGUCCCCUGGAAGCCGCUGUUUGUUGUAUCUUUACACCACCCUUGCUUCCUGCUCUAUGGCGACCCUCCAGGUGAAGAGCCCACCAGUGAUGCCAAGGACACCCGAAUUCUGUUUUCUGUUUUAAUUUUGAGGCCUACCCACUUCUGGAAAAUGUUUCCCAAAAUCAUACCAUUCCCCAAGAGGACUCAACAGAGAACAUGGUGUUGCCACUGGAGAAAAGAUGCGAACUUAUGCUCCGGAAGAGAUUUAAAAUAAUGUGAAAAAUAAGUCAAGGGCCUGAGGUUCAGCCAUGCUCCGGGAAGACCUCUCUGGACCAGGACCAUGGCCUGGGAUUUCCCGGGGCCCUCACUGGGGCCUGAGAACUGCUGGUCAGCUUCCAGAAGCUAAAGAGACCUCAAGUGAUGAACAACCAUGAGUGGACCCGGCUUCGAAGGUACUCUGUGCUGCUCCAAAGAGAGAAUUUCCAGAAGUGACAGCCACACAGCCACCAGGGGAUUCUGAAGAGGCUUCUAUCUGGGCAGCCACUCCCAGAAUGGAGGACACAGCAACAAACCGCCCAGCCCAAAGGGCCUGGACUUGCAGUCCACAGAGCCAGCAAGGAGAACGGUACCUUGGGGACCAUAACACUAAGCCUCUUGUCAGUGCCCUGGGUGGGCCCAUGUGUCGCCUGGAUAAACAGCAGUUUGUUUCCACACUCCCAAGUUGCCAUGGUGUGGCCCCAUCCUUUCCACAAGCCCAGGCCCAGCAGGGCCCAGCUGUGGCUCUCCAGGCCCAGGAGGACCAAGCACCUCAGAGGCCGGGACAGUACUUUAGGCAAACCAGCCAGACCCCUUCCUCUCCUUUUCCUUCUACUUCUGCCUCACCUUGCUGGUUCCUGUCCUCUACUGACCACCUCCAAGGGCUGGGGGGUGUGGCUCUGGGCAGAGUGAGCCGAGCAUGCAAGAGGUCCUGGGUUCCAUCCCCUGUACCCCAAAGGAAGAAAGAAAAAAGAGAAUUGCUUUGAAAGGAGGACGUUCCUGGUGGGAUGACACCUGGAAGCUGUGGCUGAUAGAACUUGGACCGCUGCUGACAUUGCCUGCUGGCCCAGGACCCUAGAGGAGACUGGGGGUCCUGGAGACCCUUGAUCUCUAGAAACUGCCCCUACCAGGGAAGCUGGGUGUGGCACCACAUGCUUGUAAUCCCAGCACUCAGGAGGCUGAGGCAGGAGGAUUGCUGCUAGUUGGAGGCCAGCCUGGGCUGCACAGCAAGCUCAAGGCUGUAGUUCUGGACUACAUAGUGAGACUCUGUCUCAGAAAGAAAAAAAAAGCCAGAAAACCAGGCAACUGGGCCAAUGAGCCCCCAGCCGCUGAAGGGCAGACCCACCUCUUUGAGGACACCACGUGGUUCCCUUGAGAACUGCCUUUGGCGGUGUCUCAACUCCUGACCUUCCCGAUGCUAAACUCUCUGACUGGUGGUGACAGCUGCUUCCUCUGUGCCCAUCCUCCUCCCACCCUGGUCGCACACCAUGCC
rnacentral:lncRNA from 1 species